UGCCAGCAGCCGCGGUAAUACGGAGGGUGCGAGCGUUAAUCGGAUUUAUUGGGCGUAAAGGGUGCGUAGGCGGUGGGGUCAGUCAGCUGUGAAAUUUCGGAGCUCAACUUCGAAACUGCAGUUGAAACUGCCCUUCUAGAGGGUAGGCGGAGAAAGUGGAAAUCCACAAGUAGCGGUGGAAUGCGUAGAUAUGUGGAAGAACACCUGUGGCGAAAGCGACUUUCUAGCUUAUACCUGACGCUGAGGCACGAAGGCAAGGGGAGCAAACAGGAUUAGAUA
rnacentral:rRNA from 1 species